GCGCAGCAGUCGCGAAUUUUUCUCAAUGGGGGCAACCCUGAAGGAGCGACGCCGCGUGGAGGAUGAAGGCUUUCGGGUUGUAAACUCCUGUCAUUUGAGAACAAGUGUGGGCAAGUAACUACUGCCUACUUGAUAGUAUCAGAAGAGGAAGAGACGGCUAACUCUGUGCCAGCAGCCGCGGUAAUACAGAGGUCUCAAGCGUUGUUCGGAUUCAUUGGGCGUAAAGGGUGCGUAGGUGGCGCGCUAAGUCGGGUGUGAAAUCUCGGGGCUUAACUCCGAAACUGCAUUUGAUACUGGCGUGCUUGAGGACUGGAGAGGGAGACUGGAAUUCACGGUGUAGCAGUGAAAUGCGUAGAGAUCAUGAGGAAGACCAGUGGCGAAGGCGGGUCUCUGGACAGUUCCUGACACUGAGGCACGAAGGCCAGGGGAGCGAAACGGGAUUAGAUAUCCUGUAGU
rnacentral:rRNA from 1 species